UAGUCGAUGGGAAACGGGUUAAUAUUCCCGUACUUGGUGUUACUGCGAAGGGGGGACGGAGAAGGCUAUGUUGGCCGGGCGACGGUUGUCCCGGUUUAAGCGUGUAGGUGUGUGUUCCAGGUAAAUCCGGUUCACUUUAACACUGAGGCGUGACGACGAGGCACUACGGUGCUGAAGCAACAAAUGCCCUGCUUCCAGGAAAAGCCUCUAAGCAUCAGGUAACAUCAAAUCGUACCCCAAACCGACACAGGUGGUCAGGUAGAGAAUACCAAGGCGCUUGAGAGAACUCGGGUGAAGGAACUAGGCAAAAUGGUGCCGUAACUUCGGGAGAAGGCACGCUGACAC
rnacentral:rRNA from 1 species